AAAAAAAAAGCGCAACAUUUGUUAUCUUUGCAGAGAUUACCAAAUUCAGACUUGUAAGUGCCAGGAGUUACAAAAACAGAAAUGCAUAAACUUAAGUUGUCAUAUUGUAUUCACAGCUUAAUGCCUUGCAUUUUUAUGUUUUUUUUGUAGUAGGAUUUUUGUUGUUUUACAAACUGUGCAACUUAUUUCCUAGUGCAAAUUUGUAAAAUAAAAUAUUUUUAAAUUUCUGAAGUACCAAAGAAACCUGUCCACAAAGAAAAAAUACCUCCUGCUCCAACAAAAGAAGAAGCUUCACAUCUUAAAGGUACAAAAUAUUUUAAGUGGGAUUCAAAGAAUAAGAGAUCUGUUUUCAUAUAUCUAUCUUAAACAAUUUUGGGAGUAUUUUAUGCACCACAACCUGUAGCAGCCACAGUAUAAACCUGAGUAAAAAAUAAAACUCACCUGGAUUUGUGCUUCAGGGAAAAAAAAAAAUUGUUAGCUUAGUUUUGCAGCAAAUGAAGGUAGGAACCCCCAAGGAAAAAUAAUAAUUAAAAAACAGACAAAUUGGAAAAGUUAGAGUGGUCUAAUCGAGAAAGUAGAUCAGUUAAGGACAUGUCACACGUCUUCUGUUAAUGUGCAGAGCUCUUAUUGUGGCAGUAUAGAAAGUCAUAGUUGUUUUUUUUCCCCCUUAUUCCAAAUACACCUGAUUUUUAGUGUAGAUGUAAGAUAGAGCUGUGCAUAUUAAGAUGAGCUUGUACAUUUGAUUUCUUUGUCUUUCUUACUGUCUUGUCUGAAGAUGUAAUUCUAUGUUAACUUUAAAAUUAUACUAAUAUCUUUCAAGUACGUGAAGUUUAUGAGGAAAUAUAUGUAGAAGAAGAAAUUUCCACUGUUCAUAGAAAAGAGGAGGCUUCGACACCUAGAGGUAUAUGAACUUCUUGAUCAUCUCUCAUCUGCAAUUUGGUCAUUGAUCAUCUGCAAUUGAUUAUCUGCAAUUUGCAAAUUGAUGACCUUCAAGAAAAAUUUAAUUAUUCAUGUUCAUAGUUUAGAUCUCGUUCAAUAUAAUUAAUAUUUGUGUUCAUUCUUUUUGUUCGUUACUUGCAUUUAAUACAGGCUUUUUUUGUAUGACUUGUUUUUCUGUUCUGUAAAAAUUCUUAAAAUGAACUAAUAUCUUUAAAGUGCCUGCAUUUGUGAAAAUUGCUCCUGAAGUGCCUCUUGCUGUGCCUAAAAAACCAGAACCUACUCCUGUGUCUAAAAAGCCAGAAUCACCAUUUAAAGUGCCUGAAGUGCCCACAAAAGUUAUCGCUGAAGAGAAGCCUGUCCCUCUAUCUAAAAAGCCAGAAGCUCCACCCGCCAAAGGUAUAGGCCAACAUAUCCUUUCUUACUCCUUUUUCUUUAGCUUUCUUCUGUCUUGUUUUGCUCUUGUCCAAAUGUUGAAAAAUAGUUCAAUUUGGCUAUUUCUUCUAUCCAAGAACAAGCCGUUGCAGUGGUACAGAAAUUAUAUCAGAAAAUUAUCAGAAGGACUAGUAGUAAUGAGAAAAACUUUAGCUGAGUCAAUAGGCAGCAAGAUUUACAAAAUAAGCAUUUUCAUUUUAUGGAUAUUAAUAUAUACUUAAACAGCUUCAGAAAUUCCACAAUACUCAAGCAAGAAAUCUCUGUUCUCUUUCACAUUGUUCAUGUUAAACUUAUUGAUUCAUUUUUGAAUAGAAAUAGCAUUUGGCUAUUGAAAACAUUAGAAAUACAGAAAUACAAUAUAGAAAUGAAAACAUUUCUAACAGUUCAUUCAGGUAUUUUGGAAGGCUGUUUGAAUGAGCAUUUUGUGUCAUAUGUCACUACUGCAUGACAAAAGUCUCCCAGUUAAGCUGCUUCAAGCCAUUCUUUGUCAGAGUAGAACAAGUGCAACUGUUUUGAACAUAUAAGUGUUGUCAGACUGUCCUUUCAUAUCUACUUGUUCUAUCUUACUUCCAUGUGUUGUGUGUUUUAUUUUUCUAAUUCCCAAAAGUGCAUAUCUUUCAAGUAUCCACGCUACCUGAGAAAUCUGUCUCAGAAGAGAAGGUACCUUUUGCUGUACCAAAAAAGACAGGAACACCACUUAAAGUCUAUAUGUCAACAAUGGUUAAACUCUGAGAAGAUUUCUCUUUCUCUUGGGCAGAGGUGUUUACAUUAAAAUAAAAUUCAUCCUUUCUCCCUUAUUUAUAAACAUUCCUAUAGAAUGUAGUAAUAUACAACAUUUCCUGCAUUGCACAUCUAAUUUCAGAUUCGUUCUUAUGAAUCAUUCUGCUAUUCUUCUUGUGACGCUCUUCUAAAUAGUUUACUUUAAAUGCUUUAAAAAUAACAAAAAUAAAUGCUGUUUUCUUUAAAG